rnacentral:misc_RNA from 1 species
GAUGAAGAACGUAGCGAAAUGCGAUAAGUAAUGUGAAUUGCAGAAUUCAGUGAAUCAUCGAAUCUUUGAACGCACCUUGCACCCUUUGGCAUUCCGAAGGGUAUGCUCGUUUGAGUGUCAUUGUACUCUCACACUCUCCGAUCCUAUGGAUUCGGGGAGCGGUGGACUUGGGUGUUGCUGCCUUUCCUUGUGGCUCACCUCAAAUGUGUCAGUGCACCUCUUGGUUGGACAUAGUACGGCGUGAUAAGUGUCUUCGCCGGCACCUCGCAAGAGGGUGGCCGAUCGGGAGCUCUGUGCUUUCAAACCGUCUUCGGACAAUUUCUGACAACUUGACCUCAAAUCGAGUAGGACUACCCGCUGAACUUAAGCAUAUCAAUAAGCGGAGA